UGGAAACAAAAAAAGUACACCUACACAGAAAUCAACACAAUUCUCUGGUCGCCGAUGAGGAUGCUCUUAUUCAGCGUGUCAUACUUAUAGGUCGUCCGGGACUCUCUGGCAUUCUUCCGAACGACUCUGAAACUGUUCGUUUGGCACUCAAUGACUCAAUGUCCCGGACUGCGUGGUUGGAAUUGGUGACAUAUCGUCAACAUGUUGUAAGAUUAAUCGACCUUUAUUGCAAUUUAGUCCAGAGAGUUGGACUAGCCUAGCAUUAGAUGGUUGAUGGAUCCUAACUCAACAGGUAUCAGGAAUACCUACGUUCUUUUUGAAGCAUGUUUUCGAAAUGCCACCAUAUCAUUAUAUUGGGAUAAGGCGAUUAAUGUUUGUUGGAUUACCCUGUGUGUGAGGUAUACUAAACAUAAGCAACUCUGACUCUCGCAGGAACUCAAUCUUGGCCUUAUCCUAUUGUGCCAUUAUAAUUUCUGAGAUCUGAGAUGCGGCUGUAAAUCCCAAAUCGACGGUGCAACGUCAUUUGAUUGAUCGCUGCACAACAUCCGCGGCUGAUCCAUUAGAUAAUACAGAUUCUCAUUUACGAAAAUCCCCACCUAUUGACAGGGAGACAGACACAGAACAGCAAGUUUAUUCAAGUUGUGGAAAAGAAGAGGCUAAAAACGGUCAUAAAGCUGGCGCUAUUAUGAAUAGUCACUUAAUUUGCAAUCCACUGCCGUGGAUUCUCACAACCAUUGGUUGUAGCCAUUUGUUUUUUUUUUCUGCGAUUCUUCCUAAAUCGAUUAAAUAACUUUUUUUUAAAAGCCCUAAAGAGCUAGAUGCUAGAUGAUUGUAAUGGGCUGGAAUAGAAUUUUAUAGAAUACUGUUAUGUCAACAUUAAUUGCAAAAUUUAAUGAAAAUCUUGUGGUCGAAAAACCUUUACUCGACAGAUUAAAGUUUGGGAUGAUGGAAUGCAUGAGUGCGGCUCUAUCCAGAAGACACUAACUGCAUAAACGUACCCAAUGUACUGCAAAUGCUGGGCAUACAGAAUCCACACAAUGUGAUUUCGAUUUCAUCCGACGGAAAGCUGUGCACUUGGAGUUUGGAUGUGUUAUCGAAACUGCAAGAUACACUGGAACUGCAGGAACUGAAAUCAAGACAAUUGGUGCCACUUGCAAAUAAGAGAUCAUCAAUUUUCAACAAAUUUUGACCAUUUGUUUCUUACAUCAUCCAUUGAUUGGAGUUUUGAGACAACCACAAUAAUGAUUCGGUUAUGAUCCAUGUAAUAAGGUCUUUGGAUUUUUAAUAUGCAGUUACAAUAGCAACCACUACAAACAAAAACAAAUAAAACCCAUAAUGACUUAAAUUAAUUUACUUAUUGUUUUUUUUUGUCAAAGCAUUAGCAUAUGUAUGUAUUAUGUAUUUUUGUUUAGUAGAUUAUGUAGGCAUUUAAA